rnacentral:misc_RNA from 1 species
GUUUUCAAAAAGGUGCUUGUAACAUCACUCUAGCAACAAAAGAUUCUGUAGUACCAACUUUUAGAAAGAUACUUUAAAACUCUUUAUAGGAACAAAAGACUUCUACAAUCAUCUUAUGAAAAAUUGUAAAAACACUGAUGUACACUGGUUACUUGAAAAGGGGUUGAAAUUAUCAUUUCAAGAACCAACAUUGUAAUGUUAAAUCAGAACAGAAGAAAUUAGAUUCACAACACACAAGAAAAGUCACUGACAAUAAUAAUUCCAAAAAUCAUUGAAAUCCACCAAUGCCCUAAGAAU